rnacentral:misc_RNA from 1 species
CGCCCUUAACACAUCUGAAUCUGAUAGAGAUUGUUCCAAUGACCCUAAGGAAAUCACCAGAAAGAUGGAUCCACAUUUUUCAGAUCAGAUCAAGAAAUUAAAGCUUCAGAACUUAAUAAUGGAAGAUAUCAGCAGCGGCCAUGAUCGGCUGGUUGACAUACAGGAAAUUCAUCGAGUUCAUGAAGCUAUCGGCGGCCACAUUUGUCUGAAUCUGAAACGCUUCCUCCUCCGUUUCUCCAAAUCCGCCAUUGCUG